rnacentral:lncRNA from 1 species
GGAAAUGAAAUGAUUUGAGAAAUGGCUUGAGACGCUUAUUAAAGAAAAUGGCUUGGUGUUGACCAAGUUGAAUUUUUCAAAUGAUUUAUUUUAUUUGUGAAGGUUAAUGUAUGUUAAGUGAUUGAUUUUAGUUUAGAAAGAUUUUAGUGUGAUUUUGAAAAUUUUACUUGAUGUUGAUCAAGCACCUUUAAUUUUUAGUAUUUUUUGAAAAGUUAAUUUUAAGAGUCAUUUUAUCUUUUUGGAUUAACAAUUAUGCAUCAACUAAAAAUAAAAUAAAAUAAACUAAAUAAUAAAAUAAAUAAAAAAAGAUAAGAAGAUAAAAAAAAAAGGAUGAAACACACUAUCAAUACAAGAGAUAAAAGAAUUUAAAAAAUAAAAGAAAA